rnacentral:lncRNA from 1 species
AGCCCUGUGAUGACGAGAAGUCGAGAACUACACACGACUGCACAAAUUUACGGCCUUCCAGUUGAGGAUCAGCGGUUGAGAUCGAGGGUGCUUCAGGCCCUGGUAGGAACUUGCUACUUGAUAUCUUCCAUUCUUCCUAUACGCUGAGCAUUUCAUCAAAAUUGAAUUCGAAAAAAGCAGGGACACUUCACAUGGAUUGGGUUUGCAAGGACUUCUUUUAAGAAUACGCUGAUCAUCUCAUAAAAAUGGCCGAAAAGCAAGGGCGAAGCCAGAAGAUUUAAGUACCGGUGUCAGGGUAGAGUAAUCUUAUUUUUCUAUGGGGUCAUUUCAUAUAAACAACGGUGAUCAAAGGGCAUUCGCAGGUAGUCAUCGCGGUCGCCGGACCCCGAUGGAUGGCUGCAGCUCCGCCCCUGUCGGAAAGAGAGACGAACGAGAACGAGAGAACAGAAGACUACAGAAGACUAGAACUAACGCAAAACCCUGGAUCAAAAGGAAGACACCAAGAAACUCAAGCGUUAGCUAAAUAGGCUCAAGUAAUCCAGGUGCACUCCAAAAAAAAAAUUUAAUGUAACUGGUAUCAUUGAUCCACUCAGGUCUAUAUGUUCUUGUAUUUUGCGUUACCAAUCCUGGAUGGAAAAAACAAAUCUAGACACGGCUCAUCUCUAUGUAACACUAGAUGGUAGCAACAUUGAUGGAUCUAAUGCGUCAAUGGGUAUCGACAAAACAUUACUAAGCGUGCUUUAGCUCUUGAGCUAUUGGCUAAGUUGAGCUUGAAGCAAUACCAUGGUCCAUGG